rnacentral:rRNA from 1 species
AUUGAACGCUGGCGGCAGGCCUAACACAUGCAAGUCGAGCGGAUGAUGGGAGCUUGCUCCUGGAUUCAGCGGCGGACGGGUGAGUAAUGCCUAGGAAUCUGCCUGGUAGUGGGGGACAACGUUUCGAAAGGAACGCUAAUACCGCAUACGUCCUACGGGAGAAAGCAGGGGACCUUCGGGCCUUGCGCUAUCAGAUGAGCCUAGGUCGGAUUAGCUUGUUGGUGAGGUAAUGGCUGACCAAGGCGACGAUCCGUAACUGGUCUGAGAGGAUGAUCAGUCACACUGGAACUGAGACACGGUCCAGACUCCUACGGGAGGCAGCAGUGGGGAAUAUCGGACAAUGGGCGAAAGCCUGAUCCAGCCAUGCCGCGUGUGUGAAGAAGGUCUUCGGAUUGUAAAGCACUUUAAGUUGGGAGGAAGGGUUGUAGAUUAAUACUCUGCAAUUUUGACGUUACCGAUAGAAUAAGCACCGGCUAACUCUGUGCCAGCCGCCGCCGUAAAAC